rnacentral:rRNA from 1 species
CCUACGGGUGGCUGCAGUGGGGAAUAUUGCACAAUGGGCGCAAGCCUGAUGCAGCCAUGCCGCGUGUGUGAAGAAGGCCUUCGGGUUGUAAAGCACUUUCAGCGGGGAGGAAGGCGUUAAGGUUAAUAACCUUGUCGAUUGACGUUACCAGCAGAAGAAGCACCGGCUAACUCCGUGCCAGCAGCCGCGGUAAUACGGAGGGUGCAAGCGUUAAUCGGAAUUACUGGGCGUAAAGCGCACGCAGGCGGUCUGUCAAGUCGGAUGUGAAAUCCCCGGGCUCAACCUGGGAACUGUAUUCGAAACUGGCAGGCUAGAGUCUUGUAGAGGGGGGUAGAAUUCCAGGUGUAGCGGUGAAAUGCGUAGAGAUCUGGAGGAAUACCGGUGGCGAAGGCGGCCCCCUGGACAAAGACUGACGCUCAGGUGCGAAAGCGUGGGGAGCAAACAGGAUUAGAUACCCGGGUAGUC